rnacentral:rRNA from 1 species
UGUAGUCAUAUGCUUGUCUCAAAGAUUAAGCCAUGCAUGUCUCAGUACUUGCUUUUACAAGGCGAAACCGCGAAUGGCUCAUUAAAUCAGUUAUGGUUCACUAGAUCGUACAGUUUACAUGGAUAACUGUGGUAAUUCUAGAGCUAAUACAUGCAUCGAAUCCGUACCCUCGUGGUGCGGAUGCAGUUAUUUGCCCAAAACCAAUCCGGCCUUCGGGUCGGUCAAUUGGUGAUUCUGAAUAACCGAAGCGGAGCGCAUGGUCUCGUACCGGCGCCAGAUCUUUCAAGUGUCUGACUUAUCAGCUUGUUGUUAGGUUAUAUUCCUAACAAGGCAUCAACGGGUAACGGGGAAUGGGGCGGGGGCGGCGGGCCGGGCGCGGGGCGCGGCGGGCGA